GACGAACGCUGGCGGCGUGCUUAACACAUGCAAGUCGAACGGGCCCGCCCCUGUUUUUGGGGGUGGGUUGAGUGGCGAACGGGUGAGUAUCACGUGAGUAACCUGCCCCCUGCUCCUGGAUAACUGCUUGAAAGGGCGGCUAAUACAGGGUGUGCCGGCUGGUCCGCAUGGGCCUGGUCGGGAUAGUUUCAUCUUCGGGUGUUUCGGUGGGGGAUGGGCUCGCGGCCUAUCAGCUUGUUGGUGGGGUGAUGGCCCACCAAGGCGGUGACGGGUAGCCGGCCUGAGAGGGUGGGCGGCCACACUGGGACUGAGACACGGCCCAGACUCCUGCGGGAGGCAGCAGUGGGGGGUAUUGCACAAUGGGCGGAAGCCUGAUGCAGCGACGUCGCGUGAGGGAUGGAGGCCUUCGGGUUGUGAACCUCUUUCUCCGGUGGUGAAGGCCCUGUCCGUUGCGGCGGGGUUGACGGUAGCCGGGUAUGAAGCGCCGGCUAACUACGUG
rnacentral:rRNA from 1 species